UACAGAGGGUGCAAGCGUUGUUCGGAAUUACUGGGCGUAAAGCGCGUGUAGGCUGCAGCGUAAGUCAGAUGUGAAAGCCCUUGGCUCAACCAAGGAAGUGCAUCUGAUACUGCGUCGCUUGAGUGUCGGAGGGGAUGGCGGAAUUCCCGGUGUAGAGGUGAAAUUCGUAGAUAUCGGGAGGAACACCUGUGGCGAAGGCGGCCAUCUGGACGAUAACUGACGCUGAGACGCGAAAGCGUGGGUAGCAAACAGG
rnacentral:rRNA from 2 species